UACGUAGGGUGCAAGCGUUGUCCGGAAUUAUUGGGCGUAAAGAGCUCGUAGGCGGUCUGUCGCGUCUGCUGUGAAAACUCAGGGCUUAACCCUGAGCUUGCAGUGGGUACGGGCAGACUAGAGUGCGGUAGGGGAGACUGGAAUUCCUGGUGUAGCGGUGAAAUGCGCAGAUAUCAGGAGGGAACACCGGUGGGCGAAGGCGGGUCUCUGGGCCGUAACUGACGCUGGAGGAGCGGAAAGCAUGGGGAGCGAAACAG
rnacentral:rRNA from 1 species